CUUUUUCAGCCCUGAUUCCGAGUCAGUCGAAUGGUAUUUGUGAGGGCGCAUUUCUGGUCAACUGUUUCUGUUGACCCCUUGCAUGUUCGCCAAACGUCCAUCGAAGACAACAGCAACCUGCAGGUCUAACUACUGUGGCGGUUGUAAUGCCGACUUCUACCUGGGAGGUAAAAGCGAUUGCGGCAGUUCAAUCUGAAUGACAUAUGACAAUUUGAAAAA